rnacentral:rRNA from 1 species
CAAAUUACCCAAUCCUGACACAGGGAGGUAGUGACAAGAAAUAACAAAGCAAGUCAGAAUUCUGAUUUUGCUAUUGGAAUGAGUAGAAUUUAAAUCCCUUUACGACUAUCAAUUGGAGGGCAAGUCUGGUGCCAGCAGCCGCGGUAAUUCCAGCUCCAAUAGCGUAUAUUAAAGUUGUUGCGGUUAAAAAGCUCGUAGUUGGAUUUCUGUCGAGGAUGACCGGUCCGCACUUUGUGCGUGCAUCUGGUUCAGCCUUGGCAUCCUCCUGGGGAACGUAUCUGCGCUUAAUUGCGUGGUGCGGUAUUCAGGACUUUUACUUUGAGGAAAUUAGAGUGUUCACGGCAGGCAAUCGCCUUGAAUACAUUAGCAUGGAAUAAUAAUAUAGGACCUUGGUCCCAUUUUGUUGGUCUCUGGAACUAAGGUAAUGAUUAAUAGGGAUAAUUGGGGGCAUUCGUAUUAACGUGUCAGAGGUGGAAUUCUUGGAUUACGUUACGACGAACUACUGCGAAAGCAUUUGCCAAGGAUGUUUUCAUUGACCAAGAACGAAAGUUCGGGGAUCGAAGAUGAUUAGAUACCAUCGUAGUCCGAACCAUAAACUAUGCCAACUAGAGAUGGGCGAUCGUUAUUUUUUUGACUUCGUCCGCACCUUAUGAGAAAUCAAAGUCUUUGGGUUCCGGGGGGAGUAUGGUCGCAAGGCUGAAACUUAAAGGAAUUGACGGAA